CAGCAAGUAAAAACUUAAAAAAUCUGCAAUAAAGUCAUAAAGUGUGAGCUUUAAUAUCAAGACACUUGUAUCUGUGUUCAAAUCCAGCAAGGCAUGAAAACAAGGUUUCUCAACACCUUACACCCUCUAUUCCUGAUCAUUAUUAUGAUAUAUGACUUUCUAUAUUAAUAAAUUUUUGAGGAAAGGUGUAAUUGUAUUGAUUGAUGUUGAAGUUAUGUAUUCCAUCUUUUUAACACUCAAAAAUAUAUAUAUAUAAAGUCAAACCCUAGCAGACAGUCAUUUAUUCCAAGAGUGCAAUGCAACACCAAGAGGACAGCUGUUUCCAGUCCCUUUCCAGUCUUUAACUGGUGCGUAAGAGACAGAGAGGUGAUACUGUGGCUACUUAUCACACACUUUUGACUUUUGCAGCUCCCAUGAUUUAAGUAGCCUGUGAAGAAAGCCAGGGCUCUGAACUAUUCAAAGUUUAUUCCUUUCUGCUCAGCCUUUACUUCUUUGUUUUUUUCUCAGGCAGGUCUGAUCUGACAAACAAGAACAAGUGAUUAAAUUCAUGCCUAUUUUUUGCUCGGUGAAGUCAAGUUUGGGAACUCUGUUUGCUGUUGCCCCAAGGGACGUACAGAUGGAUAGACGAGUGCCAGACAAGACAUGGUCACAUACGGCACAGGAUGUGAUGCUCACUGCACCACACUGGGGACAUCAUGGACCCCAUCUCAGCCGGUACAUUUUUAAAUCUCAGGUAGCUUGACACCAUGGGAAACUCAGCAUCAGCAUCCCACAGCCGGAUGGCAGAAAGGCCACAGUCACAGUAAACAUCCACCCGUGAGGUCUGAAGCCGAGGAGAUAAUCUCACCCAGAAAAGGGAGAAGACGAUAUCGACCAUCUGCUUCGUCUGGAGGGGAUUUGAUUGGCUUGCCGCAGCAGAGCGGAGCAGUGGGGAUGAUUAGGCCUCCCUGGUGUCCCAUUCCACUUGGUGCCCAGCUCAAUGUCACCACUGAUUGGAUCCUCUAAUCUUGUUCUGUGUGAAUUAAAUCUAAAGUGGGGAGGUGGAUGAUCGCAUUCACUUUGCCUUGUGCUCCGAUUCUUUGUGCGUGAGUGUGUGUGUUAUUGUAAGUAACUUCCUCCCCUACCAUGAUUAACAGAUACAGUAUGAGACAGUGAUCCUAGCUCUGGAUAGGGAUCUCUAGCUUUGACACCAUUUCUACCUGACGUUAACAGGCGCCCAUGGGUGUUCUAAAUUGCAAAUGCAGCUUGAAAGCUGCAUUAAAGGUCCAAGCACAGAAGCCGUGCUCAGGGCAACAUUUUCUCUGUGGUGAGAAUAUAUAUAAGGAAAUGUGGUUAAAAAUAGGUAAUCAGUAUUUUGAUAAUAAAAUAUUAAGCAAAUUAAUGCAUCAAGGAUAUGUGCGCAUACAUUGACCCUGAAGACCCAGGUUAAAGAUCAAGUUAGAUAUGAGUUUUAAUGUCAAUUUUACUGUCUAGCAGUAACUUAUAUGUUUAACAAGACAAUAAAUAUAUCAAUUGGUCCAAGAUUGCCAAGAAGAAGGGUGGACAACAUGGCUAUUUACAGUGGGAAGUCAUGGAUUCCCUGCUCAUCCUGUAUGGAAUUUGCUGACUAAAGUAGGAGUAAGGGGCCAAGAGAAAAACAGCUGCCCAAAUGAUUGGGGAAAGCCUGGAGGAGAGGAGCAGUGACUUGGUUAGGGUUAGGCACCAAACUACUAGUCAUGGUUUGGGUUCAGUUACAAAGCAUGCUAAAGCAUACGGUCCACCUUUUACUUUUCAUGCCAAGGUGAGGCGAAAUGUGACACUGACAUAGCAGGGAUGGUAUAGUGUGUUUUGUAUUUUCAUAGCAACAGGCUUUUGUUUUUUGGCAUCAUCCAAUCCUUACGCCUGCCCAUUUUUCCUGCCUCUAGCACAUCAACUUUGAGGACAAAAUGUUCACUUGUUGCCUAAUAUAUCCCACCCACUGACAGCCAUGAUAACCAGAUAAUCAGUGUUAUUCACCUCACCUGUCAGUGGUCGUAAUUUUAUGGCUGAUGUGUAUAGCUUAUGCAUAAUUUAUUUAAAAUAAAUUAUUUUACAAAAGUCAUAUUUACAGUUAAGUUACAGACCUUAAGGAGCAAAGAUGUAGUCAUUAAGGCUGUGAGCCCUAAAAAUAAUCAAAUGGGUCAGUCAUGAUCCUCAUCUCUCUUUGGACAAACAACAAGAGUUUCAUUCCAAGUUUCUUUCUCUCUGUCUCUGUCUAUCCUCCAGAGGGAUCCACACCAGAGCUGAUGCUGCUGGUUGCCCAGAUAUCGUUAUAGUAACCCUGGCUGUAGGCCUUUCUUGGCUCUUUUAGGUGCGGAAGCUGCUUUGCCCUGAGGGGGUGAUGUGCCACACAUUCAAUGGAAAGACGUCAGCCCCAUUCACAAAAACAGUGAACAGUUUGGUUGUUUGAACAUGCAGCCAGCAGAAGAGCUGGUUACAGAAACAGGCUCGGGGUCAAAGUGAAUCCCCAGAGAAGGACGGGAAUACAUGUGUACUAAGAGUGAAUGAGUAUCUCCC
rnacentral:lncRNA from 15 species